rnacentral:rRNA from 1 species
UACGUAGGGGGCGAGCGUUGUCCGGAUUUAUUGGGCGUAAAAGGCUUGUAGGUGGCCACGUCAAGUCGGAUGUGAAAUCUCCCGGCUCAACUGGGAGGGGUCAUUCGAUACUGGCGGGCUCGAGGCCGGUAGGGGGAAGCGGAAUUCCCGGUGUAGUGGUGGAAUGCGUAGAUAUCAGGAGGAACACCGGUGGCGAAGGCGGAUCUCUGGGCCUUGCCUGACGCUGAGGCGCGAAAGCUAGGGGAGCGAACAGG